CGGUUAACUAAAUCGUCUGGUCCCAUCGUCGAAAGUCAUGGGCUAAGAGGGAAUAUGGUGCGGACACAAUCGUGACCCAAGCCAGAGCCGCCCCCGCGACUGUAAGUGGCGAGCCUCUGUUCAGCAUGCCACUCGUGCUUUUCUGCACGGGGAAGGCGGACAGAGGCACUGACCCACAAGCCAGGAGACCUGCCGGACGCUGAACACAAAC
rnacentral:ncRNA from 1 species